rnacentral:sRNA from 1 species
CUGGGUGGCUGGGUGACCUGAAAUGGUCACAGCAGAGGCACUAGUAGGGGCAACUUCUCAUGGCCUUGCCAAUGUGCUUUAAUUCAGUCAAGAAGGACAACCUCUUAAGAGGAAAGACUUCAGACACCGCUGCCAAAUCACACUUUUGCUUCU